UGAUCAAAUACGUUGCCAUUACAUGGUCU
rnacentral:piRNA from 1 species